rnacentral:rRNA from 1 species
CAGGACGAACGCUGGCGGCGUGCUUAACACAUGCAAGUCGAGCGGAGAAUAUAGCAAGUAUAUUCGUUAGCGGCGGACGGGUGAGUAACGCGUGGGUAACCGUGCCUUUUACAGGGGGAUAACACUGGGAAACUAGUGCUAAUACCGCAUAAAAUAGUGAAGUGGCAUCACUUUACUAUCAAAGGAGCAAUCCGGUAAAAGAUGGACCCGCGUCCGGAUUAGCUAGUUGGAGGGGUAACGGCCCACCAAGGCGACGAUCGGUAGCCGAACUGAGAGGUUGAUCGGCCACAUUGGGACUGAGACACGGCCCAGACUCCUACGGGAGGCAGCAGUGGGGAAUAUUGCGCAAAAUGGGGGAAACCCUGACGCAGCAACGCCGCGUGAAGGAUGAAGGUUUUCGGAUUGUAAACUUCUUUGAUUGGGGACGAUAAUGACGGUACCCAAAAAACAAGCCACGGCUAACUACGUGCCAGCCGCUGC